AGUGGCGGACGGGUGAGUAACGCGUAGGAAUCUACCUGAUAGUGGGGGAUAGCCCGAAGAAAUUCGGAUUAAUACCGCAUAAUCUAUUCGUAGUAAAGUGGGGGACUUUCGAGCCUCACGCUAUCAGAUGAGCCUGCGUAAGAUUAGCUAGUUGGUAGGGUAAAAGCCUACCAAGGCUACGAUCUUUAGCUGGUCUGAGAGGGUGAUCAGCCACAUCGGGACUGAGACACGGUCCGAACUCCUACGGGAGGCAGCAGUGGGGAAUAUUGGACAAUGGGGGCAACCCUGAUCCAGCAAUACCGCGUGUGUGAAGAAGGCCUGAGGGUUGUAAAGCACUUUCAAUUGUGAAGAAAAGCUAGUGGUUAAUAGCCAUUAGCCUUGACGUUAACUUUAGAAGAAGCACCGGCUAACUCCGUGCCAGCAGCCGCGGUAAUACGGAGGGUGCAAGCGUUAAUCGGAAUUACUGGGCGUAAAGCGUGCGUAGGCGGUUUAUUAAGUCAGAUGUGAAAGCCCCGGGCUUAACCUGGGAACUGCAUUUGAAACUGGUCAACUAGAGUAUGGUAGAGGAAAGUGGAAUUUCUGGUGUAGCGGUGAAAUGCGUAGAUAUCAG
rnacentral:rRNA from 1 species